GACGAACGCUGGCGGCAUGCCUAAUACAUGCAAGUAGAACGCACAGUUUAUACCGUAGCUUGCUACACCAUAGACUGUGAGUUGCGAACGGGUGAGUAACGCGUAGGUAACCUGCCUGGUAGCGGGGGAUAACUAUUGGAAACGAUAGCUAAUACCGCAUAAUAUUGAUUAUUGCAUGAUAAUUGAUUGAAAGAUGCUAUUGCAUCACUACCAGAUGGACCUGCGUUGUAUUAGCUAGUAGGUGAGGUAACGGCUCACCUAGGCGACGAUACAUAGCCGACCUGAGAGGGUGAUCGGCCACACUGGGACUGAGACACGGCCCAGACUCCUACGGGAGGCAGCAGUAGGGAAUCUUCGGCAAGGGACGAAAGUCUGACCGAGCAACGCCGCGUGAGUGAAGAAGGUUUUCGGAUCGUAAAGCUCUGUUGUAAGAGAAGAACGGGUGUGAGAGUGGAAAGUUCACACUGUGACGGUAGCUUACCAGAAAGGGACGGCUAACUACGUG
rnacentral:rRNA from 1 species